rnacentral:tRNA from 1 species
GGCUUGUAGCUCCAUGGUAAAGCACUUGCCUUGCAUGCAUGAGGACCUGGGUUCAAUCCUCAGCACCA